rnacentral:rRNA from 1 species
AGUGAACGCUGGCGGUAGGCCUAACACAUGCAAGUCGAACGGCAGCACAGUAAGAGCUUGCUCUUGCGGGUGGCGAGUGGCGGACGGGUGAGGAAUACAUCGGAAUCUACUUUUUCGUGGGGGAUAACGUAGGGAAACUUACGCUAAUACCGCAUACGACCUACGGGUGAAAGCAGGGGAUCUUCGGUCCUUGCGCGAUUGAAUGAGCCGAUGUCGGAUUAGCUAGUUGGCGGGGUAAAGGCCCACCAAGGCGACGAUCCGUAGCUGGUCUGAGAGGAUGAUCAGCCACACUGGAACUGAGACACGGUCCAGACUACUACGGGAGGCAGCAGUGGGGAAUAUUGGACAAUGGGCGCAAGCAUGAUACAGCCAUACCGAGUGGGUGAAGAAGGCCUUCGGGUUGUAAAGCCCUUUUGUUGGGAAAGAAAAGCAGCAGGUUAAUACCACGCUGUUCUGACGGUACCCAAAGAAUAAGCACCGGCUAACUUCGUG